rnacentral:rRNA from 1 species
GACAGAGGAUGCAAGCGUUAUCCGGAAUGAUUGGGCGUAAAGCGUCUGUAGGUGGCUUUUUAAGUCUGCCGUCAAAUCCCAGGGCUUAACCCUGGACAGGCGGUGGAAACUACCGAGCUGGAGUACGGUAGGGGCAGAGGGAAUUUCCGGUGGAGCGGUGAAAUGCGUAGAGAUCGGAAAGAACACCAACGGCGAAAGCACUCUGCUGGGCCGACACUGACACUGAGAGGCGAAAGCUAGGGGAGCGAAUGGG